GUCUACGGCCAUACACUCCGAACGCACCCAAUCUUGUCUGACCUCAGAAGCUACGCAGGGUGGGACCUCAUUAGUACUUGGAUGGGAAACUGCCUGGGAAUACAAGAUGCUGUAGGCC
rnacentral:rRNA from 1 species